CAGCAGUGCUGGGGGACCCGGCGCACCCUCCGCAGCUGCUGGCCCGGGUGCUAAACCCCUCACUGCCCGGGCCGGCGGUGCCGGCGGGCUGCUCUCAGUGCGGGACCUCGGAGCCUGCGCCCACCCGGAACUAGCCGCGUUCAGCCCUGGUUCCCGCCCCCGCCUCUCCCGCCACACCUCUCCACAAGCAGAGGGAGCUGGCUUCAGCCUCAGCCAGCACAGAGAGGGGCCCCCAUAGCGCAGUGGCGGGCUGAAGGGCUCCUUGAGCAUGGCCAGAGUGGACGCCAAGGCUGAGGAGGCGCCGAGAGCCAGUGAGGGCUGCUAGCAUGUUGUCACCUCUCAAUACAUCUGGGGCCUCUUCUUCAUGAAUGGCAGAUGCAGCAGCAGUGUCACAGAUGCCUCCCAAAGGCACCCUCUCUCUGUGGAUGCUGCCAGUCUCCAAGAUUGAGGAUGGUGAUGUCAGCCCUACGGCUGCCCAAGGCCAGUGCUGUUUUUAUUGUUUCCACCACCAUCAACACAGCCAGCAGCAUGAGGGGGGCCAAUAAUGUCAACAGGUUUCAGCAUUUUCUCCAUCAUCACCCUUGGGACUUGGAUAAAACUACUGGAGGGUGGUUCCAAGAUGGCCAAAUAGGAACAGCUCCAGUCUACAGCUCCCAGCAUGAGUGAUGCAGAAGACGAAUGAUUUCUGCAUUUCCAACUCAGAGAGCUGACUUUAGAGGGAUCAAGAAUAGCUUGCUGGAUGGAAGGAGCUUGGGGCCAGUCAUCAUCUUAAAGGCUCUGUGGCAGCUUGGACUUGAAGUAGGGUGCACCCGGAAUUGACCAAUACAAACAGUGGACUGCACUGGAUUCUUCUUGUGCCCUGUCUCAUAUCCUCUUGUCCCACCUUUUCAUAACAGCCAUUGCCAUGGGAACCAGCUGCAUCCAGGUACGACCUGACAGCACCCUGCUUCACUGUCAUGGUGCUCCUGCAGCAUUCUGGUUAGCCAUCAUGUUGCACACACAGACCUGGAAGGGUCAGGGAGUUGCCCAUGGCAACUCUUGGCCACCAAGGGAAAGGACUAGCUCGAUAGCACACUCUUGCCUUGCGUUUCCCUAUUUUUCUUCUCUUAGUUGUUCAUACCUUGUUUCACAUCCCCAUAUAAGCCAUCUGUACCCAAGUCCUUGUUUCAUCUUCCAUUUCAGGAAAUACCAGGUUAAUACAGAAACGCAAACUACAACAAAUAAACAUUCACAUUUUAA
rnacentral:lncRNA from 1 species